GUGCGCGCAAUUGAAGAGCUGAGGCGAGGAGCGCGGGCUGCGCGGGGCCCGGCAGCAGCUGCAGCUCGUUGGCCCCCUUCGCCGCUCAUUGGCCGGCGGCGCGAGCCAGCUGGAUGUGAGCCUGGGGCGCGUCAAAUAAGCCGCACUUCCCCCCGCGCCCACCUGCACAGCACCAGCGCACGUCGGGACCCCUUCCUUGUCCUCAGACACCCCUCGGGCACCUACCUACCUACCUUCGUCCCCCCCGUCCCCGGCUCGCACCAGGCACCUGCCCCACCUUAUCCCCGCUUAAGGCAGACCCUCGCCCUCUCCGCUCCCCUCUGAGGGGAGGAUAAAAGAAGGGGGAAGAAGGAGGAGGAGGCGCAAAGGAAAGGAAGAAGGCGAGGCAGUCGCCCAGGACCAGCACGCGAGCCCCCCUGCCUUGCUUUCCUCGGACUUGCCCUGCACCCACCAUGAGCAACCUGCCCAAGGAGAAUGAGCACAGCAGCAACAGCCUCGAGGAAGAGGUGCGGACACUUUUUGUCAGUGGCCUUCCUGUGGACAUCAAGCCCAGAGAGCUUUACUUGCUUUUCCGGCCAUUCAAGGGUUAUGAAGGAUCGCUGAUCAAGCUAACAUCAAAACAGCCGGUUGGCUUUGUUACCUUCGACAGCCGGUCUGGUGCGGAAGCUGCAAAGAAUGCAUUGAAUGGCAUCCGCUUUGACCCGGAGAAUCCCCAGACGUUGCGGUUAGAGUUUGCUAAGGCCAACACCAAGAUGGCAAAAAACAAGCUGAUGGCCACACCGAAUCCCACCAACCUCCACCCUGCCCUGGGAGCACACUUCAUUGCACGGGACCCUUAUGACCUGACUGGAGCAACCCUGAUCCCAGCAUCUCCAGAGGCAUGGGCUCCCUACCCACUCUACACCACGGAGUUAACCCCUGCCAUCCCACAUGCUGCUUUCACAUACCCAGCUGCUGCCGCUGCUGCUGCACUUCAUGCUCAGUGACCUGCUGCCAGGAUGCCUACGCAGGCCAGCCCUGAAGCUCAAGGCUGGCCCUGGAGGUGUGGGACACCAUAGUCCUGGCUUGUCCCUGCUAGAGUGGAGUGGCUGUACAACAGCUUCAUUCCUAGAAGCCUUUAAGGAUGGUUGGUCCCGUCUCUGGAAAAAGGCUGGUAAGAUGCGCUGGUAUCCUCCCUCUGAAGCUACCCAGCAAGGAUGGAAGUCUCGUCAGUUCUGUUAGUUUUAAGCUGCCUCUUGGUCCACGUUUUCCCCCUUUGUCUCUCCAUGGAGUGAUGUGCCAGGGAUGAAGUUAUCUGGAUCGCUGGAAACCUUCCUUCCAAGCCCUUCCUGUGGGCACCAGCAAGGUGCUCAAAUGCAGUAACUUAUCCUUCUUGUGAACGAAGAUGUGGGCUUUCCCGUCCAGGACUGUGAACAUAAACUGCCCACCCCCCUCACCCAGCUCAGUGGACUCUGCAUGGUCUGUGUUCCCUCUUGCCUUCCUGCCUGUCUGUCUUGCCCUCCGCUAACUCAUAGCAAACUUCCAUUUCUGAGUUUCUCCUCCUGCUACGCUGAGGCCUAGUUGGAGAGACUCGGUUUUGGUGACAGACCUUUUUUCUCUUCUCGUUUUUUCCCCCUGGUUUCCAGCUGGGUUCCUGGCACAAAAACGUGGUCUAGCUGUGUGUACAGUGCAAUAUCCAGGGCCUUCUUAUCCUAAACAUUGUUUAUGCAGUUCCGCUGGAGGAAGCAAAAGACAAUCAGUUUUGCAUGUUUUCUGGCAUGAAUUUAAAACACUUUAACUUGGGUGUGUGCGUGUGUGAGUGUGCAAAGCUUGUUUUUGUUCUAGCAUUUGUGUAACCAUAGCAACGGGUCUUGGCCUAGCUAUUGAUCACUGAAGUUUUUCAUCUUGCUUCUGUGAAGACUUUGCUUCUGGAAAACACUAUCCUAGUUUUUGCCCUCUCUCCCCCCCCCCCCCCAAAAAAAUCCCCUUGGCUUUCUUUCUCCUCCAGUUUUCCCUUUCCAAUUUCUGCUUUGACUAGAAUUUGAAAAAAGAAAAAAAAAGUUUCUUCUCAAAAGUACAAUGCACUGGGUUUCUUGUCCAUUUGCCCUUCUCCAGUUAAAAGUCAGGGUUGUUUUUGUGUUUGUUUUCAGUCAGACUUCUAUAUAUAGAACAGCUGUAAAAUAUUUAACCUUUUUUUCCACAUCCCUCUGAUUGGAGAAAAUCCAGUCUUGCCAAAUAAUCAGCCAUCCUUAUGGGAAUACCGAACAAAGAUGUACGAGUAUUUUUGUACCAUGUGUAAUAAGGAAGUAUUUAUGCAUCAUAAAAGAUUUUGUGGUUUUUGUGCAAUUAAUUAUUAUUAAAGAGAAACUGUAAUCUGUAAGAUAAGUUAAAUGUUUAGUUAAAAGCUUGAAGAGAAAAAGACUUUUUUCUGUAACUGAUUCAGUCAGGCAUAGUAACAAGAAGUUGUGCAAUUUUUGUUAACAUUUUAUUGCUUGGUAUUUGGAAGUGCUUUAAGUAUUAUUGGACCAUGGCUGUCUCGCUUGUAUUAAGAUUCUUGAGAAAUAAGUUGCUAUAUCCUAUGAGAAUGUGAAACUGGAUAAUAUAUGAAUUGUACUCA